GUCGAGAAUUUUUCACAAUGGGCGAAAGCCUGAUGGAGCGACGCCGCGUGGGGGAUGAAUGGCUUCGGCCCGUAAACCCCUGUCAUUUGCGAACAAACCUAUCGGUCUAACACAUCGAGAGCUGAUUGUAGCGAAAGAGGAAGGGACGGCUAACUCUGUGCCAGCAGCCGCGGUAAUACAGAGGUCCCAAGCGUUGUUCGGAUUCACUGGGCGUAAAGGGUGCGUAGGCGGUCGAAUAAGUCUGACGUGAAAUCUUCGAGCUCAACUCGGAAACUGCGUCGGAAACUAUUCGGCUAGAGGUUUGGAUGGGAGACUGGAAUUCUCGGUGUAGCAGUGAAAUGCGUAGAUAUCGAGAGGAACACCAGUGGCGAAGGCGAGUCUCUGGACAAAUCCUGACGCUGAGGCACGAAAGCUAGGGGAGCAAACAGGAUUAGAAACCCCGGUAGUCC
rnacentral:rRNA from 1 species